GGGAGUUUGUCUUGUCAACUUUACGCUAGAAGAAUUCAAGAAACUGACUGAAGAAGAAACAGCAACAAUAGAUAAAAUCUGCAAGGAAGAAGCAAACUCUUUCAUUCUUUUCAAUCCUGAAAUUAUAAAGGGUCUUCAUCUGCGAGGACUAGUCUAUUUUGAUGUUCCUGUCUAUCCUGAUGAUCGUUUUAAAGUUUCAAGGCUUGAAGGAUUUGUUUCUAACCGAGAACAGUCCUAUGAAGAUCCAAUUGAGGAGUUGCUGUAUGCUGUUUUUGUGGUUUCAAGUGAGAAUUCAACUGUUGCUGAAUUAGCUGCAACACUACAGGCUGAUCUUUCUCAACUUCAAGCAGCUGCAUCUUUUGCUUGCAGAUUGGGAUGGGCUGU
rnacentral:misc_RNA from 1 species